rnacentral:rRNA from 1 species
UGGGGAAUCUUAGACAAUGGGGGAAACCCUGAUCUAGCCAUGCCGCGUGAGCGAUGAAGGCCUUAGGGUUGUAAAGCUCUUUCAGCUGGGAAGAUAAUGACGGUACCAGCAGAAGAAGCCCCGGCUAACUCCGUGCCAGCAGCCGCGGUAAUACGGAGGGGCUAGCGUUGUUCGGAAUUACUGGGCGUAAAGCGCACGUAGGCGGAUUAGUCAGUCAGAGGUGAAAUCCCAGGGCUCAACCCUGGAACUGCCUUUGAUACUGCUAGUCUUGAGGUCGAGAGAGGUGAGUGGAAUUCCGAGUGUAGAGGUGAAAUUCGUAGAUAUUCGGAGGAACACCAGUGGCGAAGGCGGCUCACUGGCUCGAUACUGACGCUGAGGUGCGAAAGCGUGGGGAGCAAAACAGGAUUAGAUACCCUGGUAGUCCACGCCGUAAACGAUG